UACGUAGGGUGCAAGCGUUGUCCGGAAUUAUUGGGCGUAAAGAGCUCGUAGGCGGUUUGUCGCGUCUGCUGUGAAAACUCGGGGCUUAACCCCGGGCCUGCAGUGGGUACGGGCAGACUAGAGUGCGGUAGGGGAGACUGGAAUUCCUGGUGUAGCGGUGAAAUGCGCAGAUAUCAGGAGGAACACCGGUGGCGAAGGCGGUUGCCUGGAGCUUUGCUGACGCUGAUGCGCGAAAGCGUGGGGAGCGAUCCGG
rnacentral:rRNA from 1 species